rnacentral:rRNA from 1 species
UACGGAGGGGACUAGCGUUGUUCGGAAUUACUGGGCGUAAAGCGCACGUAGGCGGAUUUGUAAGUCAGGGGUGAAAUCCCGGGGCUCAACCCCGGAACUGCCUUUGAUACUGGUAGUCUCGAGUCCGGAAGAGGUGAGUGGAAUUCCGAGUGUAGAGGUGAAAUUCGUAGAUAUUCGGAGGAACACCUGCGGCGAAGGCGGGUUGCUGGGCCGACACUGACGCUGAGGCGCGAAAGCUAGGGGAGCGAACGGG